GAUGAACGCUAGCGGCAGGCUUAAUACAUGCAAGUCGAACGGUAGAAGUCUCUUCGGAGGCUUUGAGAGUGGCGCACGGGUGCGUAACGCGUAUGCAACCUGCCUUCAGUUGGGGGAUAGCCCGGGGAAACCCGGAUUAAUACCGCAUAAUACAGGGGCCCCGCAUGGGGAUAUUUGUUAAAGAUUUAUCGACUGAAGAUGGGCAUGCGUCUGAUUAGCUAGUUGGUGAGGUAAUGGCUCACCAAGGCGACGAUCAGUAGGGGAUCUGAGAGGAUGGCCCCCCACACUGGUACUGAGAUACGGACCAGACUCCUACGGGAGGCAGCAGUAAGGAAUAUUGGACAAUGGGCGGAAGCCUGAUCCAGCCAUGCCGCGUGCAGGAAGACGGCCCUAUGGGUUGUAAACUGCUUUUGUAAGGGAAUAAUAAGGCGAACGAGUUUCGCUGAUGAAGGUACCUUACGAAUAAGCAUCGGCUAACUCCGUGCCAGCAGCCGCGGUAAUACGGAGGAUGCAAGCGUUAUCCGGAUUUAUUGGGUUUAAAGGGUGCGUAGGCGGCCUUUUAAGUCAGGGGUGAAAUGUUGCGGCUUAACCGCAGAAUUGCCUUUGAUACUGGGAGGCUUGAAUGAAGUUGAGGUAGGCGGAAUGUGGCAAGUAGCGGUGAAAUGCAUAGAGAUGCCACAGAACACCGAUUGCGAAGGCAGCUUACUAAGCUUUGAUUGACGCUGAGGCACGAAAGCGUGGGGGAUCAAACAGGAUUAGAUACCCUGGUAGUCCACGCAGUAAACGAUGAGAACUAGCUGUUGGCGAUAGAAUGUCAGCGGCACAGCGAAAGCGUUAAGUUCUCCACCUGGGGAGUACGACCGCAAGGUUGAAACUCAAAGGAAUUGACGGGGGCCCGCACAAGCGGAGGAGCAUGUGGUUUAAUUCGAUGAUACGCGAGGAACCUUACCUGGGCUUGAAAGUGAGUGACCGGCGCUGAAAGGCGCCUUCCCUUCGGGGCACAAAACUAGGUGCUGCAUGGCUGUCGUCAGCUCGUGCCGUGAGGUGUUGGGUUAAGUCCCGCAACGAGCGCAACCCCUAUCAUCAGUUGCCAUCAGGUAAAGCUGGGGACUCUGGUGAGACUGCCUGCGCAAGCAGUGAGGAAGGCGGGGACGACGUCAAGUCAUCAUGGCCCUUACGUCCAGGGCUACACACGUGCUACAAUGGCAGCUACAGAGGGCCGCGACCGUGCAAACGGGAGCUAAUCUCAAAAAGGUUGUCACAGUUCGGAUUGAGGUCUGCAACUCGACCUCAUGAAGUUGGAUUCGCUAGUAAUCGCGUAUCAGCAAUGACGCGGUGAAUACGUUCCCGGGCCUUGUACACACCG
rnacentral:rRNA from 1 species